AUUAAAUGAGAGUUUGAUCCUGGCUCAGGACGAACGCUGGCGGCGUGCCUAAUACAUGCAAGUAGAACGCUGAAGACUUUAGCUUGCUAAAGUUGGAAGAGUUGCGAACGGG
rnacentral:rRNA from 1 species